UAGAUACCCUGGUAGUCCACGCAGUAAACGAUGAAUGUUAGUCGUCGGGAUGCAAGUCAUUUCGGUGAUGCAGUUAACACAUUAAACAUUCCGCCAGGGGAGUACGGUCGCAAGAUUAAAACUCAAAGGAAUAGACGGGGACCCGCACAAGUGGUGGAGCAUGUGGUUUAAUUCGAAGAUACGCGAAGAACCUUACCUAGCCUUGACAUUGAUAGAAUCUUCCAGAGAUGGAGGAGUGCCUUUCGGGGAACUUGAAAACAGGUGCUGCACGGCUGUCGUCAGCUCGUGUCGUGAGAUGUUGGGUUAAGUCCCGCAACGAGCGCAACCCUCGUCAUUAGUUACUAACAGUUCGGCUGAGGACUCUAAUGAGACUGCCUUCGUAAGGAGGAGGAAGGUGAGGACGACGUCAAGUCAUCAUGGCCCUUACGGCUAGGGCGACACACGUGCUACAAUGGUUAGGACAAUGAGAAGCGAUACCGCGAGGUGGAGCAAAUCUAUAAACCUAAUCUCAGUUCGGAUUGUAGUCUGCAACUCGACUACAUGAAGCUGGAAUCACUAGUAAUCGUAGAUCAGCCAUGCUACGGUGAAUACGUUCCCGGGUCUUGUACUCACCGCCCGUCACACCAUGGGAGUUGAUUUCACCCGAAGCGGGGAAGCUAAACUGGCUACCCUCCACGGUGGAAUUAGCGACUGGGGUGAAGUCGUAACAAGGUA
rnacentral:rRNA from 1 species